UACGAAGGGUGCAAGCGUUACUCGGAAUUACUGGGCGUAAAGCGUGCGUAGGCGGUAUGUUAAGUCUGAUGUGAAAUCCCCGGGCUCAACCUGGGAAUGGCAUUGGAUACUGGCAGGCUAGAGUACGGUAGAGGGUGGUGGAAUUCCCGGUGUAGCAGUGAAAUGCGUAGAGAUGUGGAGGAACACCGAUGGCGAAGGCAGCCCCCUGGGUCGACACUGACGCUCAUGCACGAAAGCGUGGGGAGCAAACAGG
rnacentral:rRNA from 1 species